rnacentral:rRNA from 1 species
GAGGAAUAUUGGUCAAUGGGCGCAAGCCUGAACCAGCCACGUCGCGUGAAGGAAGACGGCCCUACGGGUUGUAAACUUCUUUUGUAAGGGAAUAAAGUGUAGUACGUGUACUAUUUUGCAUGUACCUUACGAAUAAGGAUCGGCUAACUCCGUGCCAGCAGCCGCGGUAAUACGGAGGAUCCGAGCGUUAUCCGGAUUUAUUGGGUUUAAAGGGUGCGCAGGCGGGAGAUUAAGUCGGCGGUGAAAUUUUGCAGCUUAACUGUAAAAGUGCCUUCGAAACUGGUUUCCUUGAGUGUAGAUGAAGUAGGCGGAAUUUGUGGUGUAGCGGUGAAAUGCAUAGAUAUCACGAGGAACUCCGAUUGCGCAGGCAGCUUACUAAACUACUACUGACGCUCAGGCACGAAGGCGUGGGGAUCAAAC